GAUGAAGAACGCAGCGAAAUGCGAUACGUAGUGUGAAUUGCAGAAUUCAGUGAAUCAUCGAAUCUUUGAACGCACAUUGCACCUCUCGGUAUUCCGGGAGGUAUGCCUGUUCGAGCGUCAUUUGUACCCUCAAGCUCUGCUUGGUGUUGGGUGUUUGUUCCGCCUCUGUGUGUGAACUCGCCUCAAACAAUUGGCAGCCGGCGUACUUGUUUCGGAGCGCAGCACAUUUUGCGAUCCAGAUCAACGUACAGCGGCAUCCAAGAAGCCUUAUUUAACGCUCUUGACCUCGGAUCAGGUAGGGAUACCCGCUGAACUUAAGCAUAUCAAUAAGCGGAGGA
rnacentral:misc_RNA from 1 species